UACAGAGGGUGCAAGCGUUAAUCGGAAUUACUGGGCGUAAAGCGUGUGUAGGUGGUUAGGUAAGUUAGAUGUGAAACCCCCGGGCUCAACCUGGGAACUGCGUUUAAAACUGCUUAGCUAGAGUACUGUAGAGGAUAGUGGAAUUUCCAGUGUAGCGGUGAAAUGCGUAGAUAUUGGAAGGAACACCAGUGGCGAAGGCGACUAUCUGGAUAGAUACUGACACUGAGACACGAAAGCGUGGGGAGCAAACAGG
rnacentral:rRNA from 1 species